rnacentral:rRNA from 1 species
GAUGAACGCUGACAGAAUGCUUAACACAUGCAAGUCAACUUGAACUUCGGUUUGGGUGGCGGACGGGUGAGUGACGCGUAAAGAACUUGCCUCACAGAUAGGGACAACAUUUGGAAACGAAGGCUAAUACCUGAUAUUAUGAUUAUAUGGCAUCGUAUAAUUAUGAAAGCUAUAUGCGCUGUGAGAGAGCUUUGCGUCCCAUUAGCUAGUUGGAGAGGUAACGGCUCACCAGGGCGAUGAUGGGUAGCCGGCCUGAGAGGGUGAUCGGCCACAAGGGGACUGAGACACGGCCCUUACUCCUACGGGAGGCAGCAGUGGGGAAUAUUGGACAAUGGACCAAGAGUCUGAUCCAGCAAUUCUGUGUGCACGAUGAAGUUUUUCGGAAUGUAAAGUGCUUUCAGUUGGGAAGAAAAAAAUGACGGUACCAACAGAAGAAGUGACGGCUAAAUACGUG